rnacentral:rRNA from 2 species
GUUGGGUAGGGGAGCGUUCUGUAAGCCUGUGAAGGUGGCCUGUGAGGGUUGCUGGAGGUAUCAGAAGUGCGAAUGCUGACAUAAGUAACGAUAAAGCGGGUGAAAAGCCCGCUCGCCGGAAGACCAAGGGUUCCUGUCCAACGUUAAUCGGGGCAGGGUGAGUCGACCCCUAAGGCGAGGCCGAAAGGCGUAGUCGAUGGGAAACGGGUUAAUAUUCCCGUACUUGGUGUUACUGCGAAGGGGGGACGGAGAAGGCUAUGUUGGCCGGGCGACGGUUGUCCCGGUUUAAGCGUGUAGGUGUGUGUUCCAGGUAAAUCCGGUUCACUUUAACACUGAGGCGUGAUGACGAGGCACUACGGUGCUGAAGUAACAAAUGCCCUGCUUCCAGGAAAAGCCUCUAAGCAUCAGGUAACAUCAAAUCGUACCCCAAACCGACACAGGUGGUCAGGUAGAGAAUACCAAGGCGCUUGAGAGAACUCGGGUGAAGGAACUAGGCAAAAUGGUGCCGUAACUUCGGGAGAAGGCACGCUGACACGUAGGUGAAGUGAUUUACUCACGGAGCUGAAGUCAGUCGAAGAUACCAGCUGGCUGCAACUGUUUAUUAAAAACACAGCACUGUGCAAACACGAAAGUGGACGUAUACGGUGUGACGCCUGCCCGGUGCCGGAAGGUUAAUUGAUGGGGUCAGCGCAAGCGAAGCUCCUGAUCGAAGCCCCGGUAAACGGCGGCCGUAACUAUAACGGUCCUAAGGUAGCGAAAUUCCUUGUCGGGUAAGUUCCGACCUGCACGAAUGGCGUAAUGAUGGCCAGGCUGUCUCCACCCGAGACUCAGUGAAAUUGAACUCGCUGUGAAGAUGCAGUGUACCCGCGGCAAGACGGAAAGACCCCGUGAACCUUUACUAUAGCUUGACACUGAACAUUGAGCCUUGAUGUGUAGGAUAGGUGGGAGGCUUUGAAGUGUGGACGCCAGUCUGCAUGGAGCCGACCUUGAAAUACCACCCUUUAAUGUUUGAUGUUCUAACGUGGACCCGUUACCCGGGUUGCGGACAGUGUCUGGUGGGUAGUUUGACUGGGGCGGUCUCCUCCUAAAGAGUAACGGAGGAGCACGAAGGUUGGCUAAUCCUGGUCGGACAUCAGGAGGUUAGUGCAAUGGCAUAAGCCAGCUUGACUGCGAGCGUGACGGCGCGAGCAGGUGCGAAAGCAGGUCAUAGUGAUCCGGUGGUUCUGAAUGGAAGGGCCAUCGCUCAACGGAUAAAAGGUACUCCGGGGAUAACAGGCUGAUACCGCCCAAGAGUUCAUAUCGACGGCGGUGUUUGGCACCUCGAUGUCGGCUCAUCACAUCCUGGGGCUGAAGUAGGUCCCAAGGGUAUGGCUGUUCGCCAUUUAAAGUGGUACGCGAGCUGGGUUUAGAACGUCGUGAGACAGUUCGGUCCCUAUCUGCCGUGGGCGCUGGAGAACUGAGGGGGGCUGCUCCUAGUACGAGAGGACCGGAGUGGACGCAUCACUGGUGUUCGGGUUGUCAUGCCAAUGGCACUGCCCGGUAGCUAAAUGCGGAAGAGAUAAGUGCUGAAAGCAUCUAAGCACGAAACUUGCCCCGAGAUGAGUUCUCCCUGAGACUUAAAGUCUCCUGAAGGAACGUUGAAGACGACGACGUUGAUAGGCCGGGUGUGUAAGCGCAGCGAUGCGUUGAGCUAACCGGUACUAAUGAACCGUGAGGCUUAACC